CAGUGAUAAACUGGAGGAAGGUGGGGAUGACGUCAAGUCAUCAUGGCCCUUACGAGUAGGGCUACACACGUGCUACAAUGGCAUAUACAAAGAGAAGCGACCUCGCGAGAGCAAGCGGACCUCAUAAAGUAUGUCGUAGUCCGGAUUGGAGUCUGCAACUCGACUCCAUGAAGUCGGAAUCGCUAGUAAUCGUGGAUCAGAAUGCCACGGUGAAUACGUUCCCGGGCCUUGUACACACCGCCCGUCACACCAUGGGAGUGGGUUGCAAAAGAAGUA
rnacentral:rRNA from 1 species